UGAAUUUAGGCUUGCGCUGAAGUGUUAGGC
rnacentral:piRNA from 1 species